GCGCCUACCCUUUCCGGCCCCGCCCCGCCAGUCGGACUGGACUAGCAGAGCCAGCCCCGCGCCUUGCAGUGGUUUGGAUGGAACCUGGUUUCUGUUACGGGACACGUUUUUAAUGCGUUUGUCAAAGGACAUAAGCAUAUUUCGUAACUGUAGAGUUUUUCCUUUGGUUCCUUAAGUUCUCAGUAGUUCUUGUCGCAGGGUCAGAUCUAGCCGUAUUUUGGGUGGUGAACCUUUAUUGUAGCAGUUACCACAGGGGUUAUAGUAUUUGUUUAUUCAUAGUUCGCAACUCCGCCCCGCCCGAUCCCUACUCUGAAACUUCUGGCCGGCCUGGACUGAUUACCUUUACAAUUUUGGGGGGGGGGGUCUUUUUCCUUUUUAUCGGUACCAGGGAUCGAACUCACGACUGCCUGCUUGCAAGGCAAGCACUUAAUGCCGCUGAGUUAAAUCCCCAGCUCCCCCCCCCCCCCUUUUGAGACAGUUUCAUUGGGCAGUUCAGGCUGGCCUUGAACUCACUCUGUAUCCCAGGCUGGCCUCCAACCCUGCAAUCCUCCUGCCUCAGCUCUCGAGUGCUUGGAUUACCUGCGUGCACCGCCAUGCCCAGUGGACUGUUUAGCUUUGUACUCGCAGACCUGCUUUGCUACUAGAAUCCAGUCAGAACUAGUAAAUGGUAAAUGCAUGAAUAAAUGUGCUACUCCUCGUGCCUCCUGUGUGACUUUGAGAAAAAUACUUAAAAGUCUCUGUGAGUCUUGGUUAUAAAAAAUUUAGAGUUGUUCCGCUUCCUCUUAAGGUUGUGAGCCUCUAGGGAGAUAAUGAAAGUUGAGCAUUAACCAUGCUGCUAGGCAUAAGAAGUGCUCCAUAUCUAGCAGCAACUGUUAUUUUCAGUCAUAGGAGAAAUUUCUAAUAUAUCUGGGCUUGGGGUUACCGAUUUCCUGUGGCAAGAACAGGUAAUAUUAAUAAAUAUUAACAACUAGAUUGUAAACACUUUGAGCUUCUGCCUUUUGGGCAUAAGAGGAGGCUGAUGAAAAAGAUACAAUGUGGGUUUAAAUUUUAAAGAUAUUACAACAAAAGACACAUUGCCAUUAAUCCCCCUGAAAAUACUCUCCCUCUUUGGGACACAUUUAGCCAUUGUUCUUACUGCUUUCUGAAGUGGUUCUUUUGCUGUUUUUUGAGACAUGGUCUCACAAUAUACCCCUGGCUGGCCUUAAACUCUUGGCAAUCCCUCUGCCUCAGCCUCCCCAGUGCUGAGAUAACUAGGGAGUGCCACUGGACCUGGCCUGAAACAAUUCUGGAUGUGUUGUUUGGGAGAUGUGAUUUAAAAAAAAAAAAAAUACAGAGAAUGGGCUGGGGAUUUAGCCCAAGUACUUGCCUGGUAAGUGGGUGGUUGUGAGUUCAAUCUCUGGGACAAAAAACAGACAAACAAACAAACAAAAAAACAAAAUACAGUGAAUGGCAUUCAAAGGAAGGAUACUAAAACAUUAUAAUCCCAGCAUUUGGAGAGGCUGAAGCAAGUGGAUGGGCGAGAGUUUGAGGUCAGCCUGGGGUAGACAGUGUCUUCCAAGCCAGCCUGAACAACAGAGCAAGAGUUUGUCUUAAAAAAACCUAAAAAAAAAAAAAAAAUUCCAGUGAGCCCCCACCUUACUCACUGGAGCUGGCACUGUAGUGCUUUUUACUGUUCCCCAAAGUCAAAAUGACAGUGAAAGGCACCUGUUUUGAAUUGAUUCAGCACAACAAGGCAGUCAUGCCAGCCUGGCCCACAUAGCAUAGAUUCUAUGUCAAUGAACAAACAAACUUUAAACAAAAAUGAGGCAGAAGGAAAAAUAAAAUACACAAAAUAACGAAGACCUUAGAGAAAUUAGGGGUUUCUGUAGUGUAAGUUUCAGUGGAAUUACUUCAUUGAGGUAUAGCACAUAGGUCUUGGCUGGGGAUUUAGCUCAGCGGCAUAAGCGUCUGCCUGGCAAGCUUGAGGUUGUGAGUUUGACCCCGGUACCAAAAAAAAAAAAAAAAAAAAAGUGCACGGGACCUGGACAUCGGGUCCCUAUAGGAAGGGCCUGUGGAAAUGCUCUUGCAGACCUUUAAGGAAUUGUGCAAAGUGGUAGAAGUAAUGGAUAAUGAAAGUAAUGGGUAAUUGAUAUUUUGUUUUCGAACAAUGUCUAAUAACUUUUUUGUUUUUUUGUGGUGCUUUUAUAGGCUGUUCACUAUAUAUGAGGCAGUGUUCAAACCACUUUGGAUUAUAUUAGCACAUUUAAUGUUCACCACACCCCUGGGAAGUAGGAGUUAUGUUUCUCCUCAUUUUAUAAUUGAGGAAACUGAGUCACAGACAAGUUGGAUAACUUGCUCACAGUUAAACUAUUACCAUGUGCAAGAGUCAAGACUUGAGUCACACUAUCUGGAUCAGAGUCCUUUCUGUUAAAACUGGUAGAUUCUAGUAUUUUUAGAGCAACACCAAGCUAACCCUAAACCAGAUUAUAAAACAGUUUAUGAACAUACACAAGAGAGAGAAGGCAUGCCAGUUGUUCACCUGCUCUCAGAAUCUUCAACUUCUUUCUGAAAACUCCAUUUCCCAGGUUCCCUUGCAGUGUGAUUUGAUUUCUUUUGAGCUAUCGGGAUGCACUCAUGGGAGAUUCUUGCUAUUCUGUGAGCUACCUCAGUAUCUCCUUUUUGGCUUUUUCUUUUUUUUAGCAGCUUCAUAUUUGUGACUAUUUUUAUGUUAAUAUCUUUUGUUUGUUUUUGAGACAGGGUCUUAUACAUUUCAGGCUGGCCUUGAACUCAUUAUAUAGCGAAGACUGACCCCAAGAGGGAACAAGAUAGAAGUCACAGUGCCUCUAUCACAGGCAGUGUAUAUCUAGUCACAGGCAGAAAUGGAUAUACAAGGCCCUCACUAACCUAUACAAAAUCUAAAAGCAACACAAGCAGGGCACAGCAACACAUGCCUACCAUUUCAGGACUUGGGAGGCCCAGGCAAGAAGGUUGCAAGUUCAAGGCCAGCUGUGUGUUAUAUAGCAAAUUUAAGGCCAGCUUGGACUCAUAGACCCUGUCUCAGCAAAACAAAACAAACAAGAAUAUCUAGCAGGGUAACAAGCUGUCCAUUCACCGACUGGAACUCAGAGCCUGAGCAUAAUUUCCAAUGGCUCUUGGCUCCCAUAUUGGGCUCUUUGUUCUCUCUGUCCUCUGGGCCAAUCUUUCUUUUUCCAUAAAAGCCCAUGUCUGCAGCUAUGUAAUUUUCUCAGCCUGCUUUUUGCUGCAGAAGUUUGGAGACUCAGGGUCCUCUCCUCAUUCUGUGUUGUCUGUGCCCCUUUUGAUCCAAGCUGAGAAUGUUUCUGUCGAUCGGGCUUCCGCUGAGAUGCUGAGAUUACUGAGGGACGACACUGUUCAGGUUUUCCUUUUCUUUUUCUUCCUUUUUUUUUUUUUUUUUUUUUUUUUUUUGUUGUUGUUUUGUUUUGUUUUUGGUACUCAGGAUUAAACUCACGACCCUGCACUUGCCAGGCAGGCACUUGUGCCACUGAGCUAAAUCCCCAGCCCCCCUUGUUUUGUUUUUGAAAUAGGUUCUCAUUAGGUAGUUCAGGCUGGACUUGAACUCACUAUGUAGCCCAGUGGUCAAACUCUCAGUGAUCCUUCUGCCUCAGCCUCCUGAGUACGGGGAUUACAGGUAUGCACCACCAUGUGUGGCUCUGUUUCGUGUCUUAAAAAUCUCCAUUGUUUGGGCUGGGGAUGUAGCUUAGUAGCACAGUGCCUGCCCGGUUGGUAAAUGUGAGGUCCUGAGUUUGAUUCCUGAUACCAAAAAAAAAAAAAAAAAAAAAAAAAAUCUUCACUGUUUAACCUUUAAUCAAAGGGCUUCCAGAGCUUUACCUUAGCUGCUUUUGAGAAAUUUUUAUUUUGUACAUCUUUUUUUUUUUUUGGUACCAUGGAUCAAACUCACAACCUUGUACUUGCCCAGCAGGUGCUUACACCACUAAAUCCCUGGUGAGAAAUUUUUGUUUUGCAAAGAGAUGAGAUCUUACUAUGUGGUCCAAGCUAGCCUUGACUCUAGGACUCUCCUGAUUCAGUUUCUCAAUUUCUGGAACUACAAGUGUAUGCCACUAUGCCUAAAUCCUUUUGAGAUUGUGUGCGUGUGCGUGUGCGUGUGUGUGUGUGUAACUGAGGGUUGAACCUAGGGCCUUUGCACUGAGCUACACCCCAGCCAUAUUUAAUUGUAAUUUUUUUGUUUUGAGACAGGGUCUCAUUAAGUUGUUAAACUGACCAGUCUGGUGUGAAUUUAGUGAUCCUCUUGCUUUGGCUUUUCAGAAUGCAUGGUUAAAAGACAUGCUCUACCAUGCCCGACUUCUCAAAUUUUAACAGAGGAUGUUAUAGUCAACCUCCCCCGCCUCCCUCUCCCUUUUGAGACAUUGUCUCACUGUGUAAUUCAGGCUGGCCUUGAACUCACUAUGUAGCCCAGGCUGACCUCAACCUCAUAGUGAUCCUCCUGCCUCUGCCUGCCAAAUGCUGGGAUCACAAGCAUGUACCACCACACUUGGCCUGGCCUCGUUCUUAUACAGUGUUUUCCUGAGAGUACCCUGGAUUUGAUGUCUGCAUAAGAAGCCAUUUUUAAAUUUAGUGUAAUUUGCUAUCUGGAAAUGCUGAUUUGAAAUCUGGCUACACUUGCAUUUGUUUUUGUUUAGAGAAGGUCUUGCUAAAUGGCUCUUGAAUUUACAGUCCUUCUACCUCAACCUCCUGAGCAUCUGGGUUUCUAAGCAUGUCCAUCACAUCCAGCUACCGGCUCCUUUUAAAAUAGUAUUAUCCUGCGGCUCAACACUUCUCACACUUUACUAUAAGCAACAAAAGAAAGCAGGUGCCACCUCCAACACUCUGCCUGAAAAUCUCCUUAGAUUUCUCAUUCAUUAGCCAGAUUUUCUGCUUUCCCCAUUGCUAAAGGUUAACUACUGAUGCUCAGCUCACCAUAUAAUGAGACUCCUCUUUCUCCCAGUUUAAGAACACCUCCUCAUUACCCUUUAAAUCUUUAUUGGCUGCCCCCCCCCUUUUUGGUACUGGAAAUUUAACUGACAGUUUCAUGCUUGCCAGGCAGGCACUGGGCUACUGAGCUAUAUCCCUGACCUUGGCUGCAUAUUUAAAGGUCUUUGUGAGGCACUGGGGCUCAGCAUAGCCCUUGACACUUGCCUAGCAGGUACACGAGGCCCUAGGUUCAAUCCCCAGCACUCUGAAAAUAGAGACCAUAGUUCUACUUAUAGAUACUUUUUUUUUUUUAUCAGUACCAGGGAUCGAACUCACGACCACCUGCUUGCAAGGCAGGUGCUUUUGCCACUGAGCUAAAUCCCCAGCUCCUACUUAUAGAUACUUCGAGGCAUUUUAAUGUUACGCUAACUUCCCAGAAUCUUCCCAGUGUCUGCCUUUUGUCGGAUUUCAAUGUUACUUGUUUAGGGGUGGGUGGGGGGACAGAGUCUCUCUGUGCAGUUCAGCUAUGUAGUUCAGGUUGGUCUCAAACUCACAGACAUACUCCUGCCUCAGCCUCCCAAGUACAUGAGCAGGCAUGAGUCACCAUUCCCAGCACUAAAAUCAUUUUUUUUUCUUUUUUCUUUUUUUUUUAUCACAGUAACAUUCUGCUUUGAGUGUUCAAAUCUAAAUUAAGUUUCUAUGGCUGGUUGAUCCAUUCCCCAGAAUUUCAGCAGUUUAAAAAAUGAACAUUUGACAUUUCAGCAUGGCAGAAGGGUGUGAUAUCCAGUGCAACAGCAGCCAUUACAACAACAGUGAGUUUACAAGCUUGAAAAUAAAAGGUAACACACCAAGGAUGAUGGCCUGGCACUAUGGGAAGUAGCUUGGUCUUUGAUGAUACCUGGACCAACCUACUACCAGGCUUCUGGUUCAGUGAGAUAAUAUGUAUCUCCAUGAUUUAACUAGAGAUUUAAACGCAGGUUCACUUAUUGGUAACCAAACACAUUCCUACUUGAUAUUGAAAGGUAAAUCGGACUCUAACCCAUGGAAGGACGAUGGAGACUCUGCCACGAACAAGUUUAUUUGGUGCAAGGGAGGGGUUGUCUCUGACAGACAGUGACCUGAGGGGAGGAAGUCAAGAGCUUCUAUGCUCCAGGAGGCCUAACAGGUACAUUCUGGGCUAGAGCUGCAUUAUUAGCAUCUGUGAGCAGGCAGUUCUUGGAAAGUAUGCAGGGGGCUUUGCAGGUUUGCAGGGGUGACUGGGUUACACCUUUUACCUCCCUCCUUCCCGUGCCCCAGAGCUUGCUGCUCCUUCAGAUAUAAACUAUUAAAGUUAGUACGACACUGUUGUAAAGUUAGUACAUGCUCCUGUUCCAAAAAAAAAGUUACAUUGGGCCAUUUUUUGGACCAAUCUGAAAAUUUCUUCAGAAAAGAUGGAGGAGUCAGUAAAAUGUUUAGGAGAUGGAAUUUUAAUGGUUGGGAAAUCAUCUAUGCUUUCAUAGAAAAGGGAGGGAAGGGUGGAAGAACAUGUGCAGCACAGGGCAAGUGAACCGGGAGUGCAUCCAGAAGAUGAGGGCCACCAUCUUAUCUAAACUUUUUUUUUCAGCUUUGUGAGAUCCAAAUCUUACCUAGACUUUUAAAGACAGAAUUUUAAAUCAAAAUGAGAAAGGCACACUUCCUCCAAUAAUUUUUGCAUUUAAAGCUCAUUCUUCUUUUUUAUGUCCCAGGGAUCAAACUUGGGACUUCGUACUUGCCAAGUAGGCACUUAUGCUGCUGAGCUAAAUUCCCAGCAAUUUUUGCAUUUAGAUCUGUUUUAAUCUAUGAAAAUUUUCAAAACCUUUUCAUGCCAAAAUCCUUAUAACAAAUGUGCACCCAUCCACACACACACACACACACACACACACACACACACACCCCUGAACAUUUAGCAGAACGUGGUAGCACAUGCCAGUAAUGCCAGCACUUGGAAGGCAGAGACAGGAGGAUUGCUGCAAGUAUGAGCCCAGCCUGGACUACAUAGUAAGUUCAAGGCCAAUAUGAACUACAUAGCAAGAUGCUAUCUCAAAAAAAGGGAGGAAGGAAAGAAGGAAGAAAGGAAGAAAGAAAGAAAGAAGAAAGAAAAAGAAAUCAAGAGCAAGAGCCUUUACACUGGCGUACAAAGCACUAUGGGAUUUUGCCGUUACCUGUCUGACGACCUCUUCUGCCGUUUUGCCUCUUCCUACGCUGUUGCAGUCACGUGACCCUGCCCCUUACUACAGCAAGCACGUUCUCACCGCAGGCAUGGCAUUUGCUGUUCCUUUUGCUUGAGUGUCUUUCUUCCUGAGAACCAUGUGGCCUGUCUCUUCAUUGCCUCAGGUUCUCCAUGGGACCUUCCUUGGCUUUACUAUCUAAAAUUACACCCCAAAACCGGCUGUGGUGUCACACACCUGUCGUUUCAAGGUUCUGCAGGGUGGAGAUAGGAGGAUCACAAGUACAGGCCCAGCCUGGGCAGUUUAGUGAGACUCAGUAUAAAAAAUAAAAAGGUCUGGAGGUGUAGCACAGUGCUAGGUUCAGUCCCUAGCACUGAAAACAAAAAGAAACACAAACAAAAAACAAUACUUUCUAUUUCACUUCUUCAACUUCCUCUUUAACACUAUCACUAUCCACCCACUACACAUUUUACUCACUUAUUUACCAUUUGUACUGUGCUCUCUCACAGGAGUGUGAGUUCCAUGUGGGUGAGGGUCUAUUAGUUUAUGUUAUGUCCUUAAUACCAGAAACCAUGGGGCCCUUGUAGGCACUCAGGAAACCUUUAUAGGAAGAAUGAAUGCAUCCUGGACUGCUGGUUGUAAGCAUCAUAUGGAUGGUGUCUUUUAAUCCACACAAUUAUUUGUUUUUUGGUUUUUUUUUUUUUUUUUUUGUCUUUUUUGUUUUUAUCGCUACUGGGGAUCGAACUCACGACUGCCUGCUUGCAAGGCAGGCGCUUAUGCCGCUGAGCUAAAUCUCCAGCCCCAAUCCACACAAUUAUUAUUUUAGUCACUUUCCUGUCACUGAAAGAAUACCUGACACUUGCAACUUUACAGAGGACAGGUUUAUUUUGGCUUACAGGUUCAGUGGGUUCAGUCCAUGGUGACAGGCCCCAUGGCAGAAGGGAUGGGGAAACAGGAUGGAAGAGGAGAGUGGCUCACACCAUGGUGACCAGGAAGCAGAAAAAGAGGAAAGGAGCCAGGGAUGAGAAUACACCCCUCCAAGUCACAUUCCCACUGACCCACCCUUUUUGACCAGGCUCCACUUCUGAGCAUGAGACUUUAUUUAAACCAUAACAAUUACCCUUUCUAUUACUGUUGCAUUUUUUAGGGGAAAAGGUUAGAGGGGAUGAAAUCCAGGGGUACCCUGCUAGCAAGUUACAUCUCUAGCCCUAUUAUUAUUAUUAUUAUUUUUUUUUGGUCCUUUUCAUUUUUAUCGGUACCGGGGAUUGAACUCACGACUGCCUGCUUGCAAGGCAGGCGCUUAUGCCGCUGAGCUAAAUCCCCAGCCCCUAUUAUUAUUAUUAUUGAGGGUUUUUUUUGUUUUGUUUUGUUUUUUUGUACCAGGGAUUGAACUUAUGACCUUGUGCUUGCCUGGCAGGCACUUUGCUGCUGAGCUAUAUCCCUGGCCCUUUAUUAUUUAUUUUAAGACAGGGUGUUGUUAAAUUGCUCCAAUUGGCCUCUCCUCCCUCAACCUCCUAAGGAACUGGAAUUCCAGACAUGACUCACUAUACCUGGCUAUGAGUUGCAUUUUAAGGAUGAGGAAGCUGAAGCUCAGGGAGGAUGAAUUAUACACUGAAGGUCACCCAAGUAGUAAAGACUGGAUUGAAAUUCAGAUUGUGUGAUUCUAGUGUCUUUGCCCCUUAUUAAUAUAGGAUACUCCUUGCCUGUACUCGAAGCCAUACUUUAAGAGGUUAGUAAAAUGAAACAACCUGUUACCAGAGGAAGGUAACAGAAAUGUUGAGUUUUUAAGCCAUGACAUAUGAUGAGGUGUUUAUGGAACUAGAAGGGAUUUUCUUGAUUUGUUUUGUUUUGAUCCUGGGAAUCAAACUCAGGACCUCAUACUUGCUAGGCAGGUGCUUAUGUGGCUGAACUAUAACUCCAGCCCCUAGAAAGGAUUUUCAGUUAAAAUUAUUUUUAAAUUGUUUCAGUUUUUUCAAGGCGGGGUAUUGUUAUACAAUCCAGGCUGGCCUUGAAUUUGCAGUGAUACUCCUGUCUCAGCCUCCUAAAGCUAGAAUUACAGGCAUGUACUACCAUUCCUGGCCAAAAUUUAACUUUAGUGGUAGAAUACAUGAAAAUUUGUCUCAGCACUAUGGGAGGCUGAGGCAGCAGGAACUACCUCAGCCUGGACAAUUUAGCAACUUAGGGAGACCCUACCUCAUGAUAAGAAAUAAAAAAAGGCUAAGGAUGUGCUUCAGUGUGAAGGCCUUGGGUUCAGUUCCCAGUAUUGCAAACAGAAAAAGAAGUUUAAAAAGUAAAAAAAGAGAAGAGGAAGAAAACCAGAUUCAAAUAUUUGGCAAGUUGUAGGGUGGAGUGAAAGUGCAUUUAUUUGGUAUAAUUUGAAGAAACUCAAGCUGGAAUUGACAGCAAAUGAAGACGCUCAGCAGACUCCCUGUGUGAGGCACAGAGGCUGAGGGCUCCAGCUGUUGGAAAGGAACAGCCACAGCUGUCUGGCCUCAGAGCCCCCUGCGAUGACUCCUGUAUCAGGAUGGAGACAAAUCCCAAAGGACAGAGGCCAGGAGAGCCUCCUGGAGCAAGCUGUGUUAGGUGCUGAAACAAAGCCAGUGAAGGUGGAGGCCAGGAAAAGUCCCUGAGGUCGGGAAGGCAUUUCCUGAAGGCAGCAGCUUCAGUGGAUACUGUGUUGCAGCUGUAGAGACUGAGUUAAAGAGCUUGCCCAGUGGCCUGUGUCUGUAAUCCCAGCUAUUUUGGAGGCUGAGGCAGGAGGAUUGUGAAUUUGAUUUCAGCUUGGGCAACUGGGUAACACUCUGUCUCAAAACGAAAUUAAAAAGAGGAAAGGGCUGGGAGUGUAUUUAAGUAGCAUAGUGCUUGUCUAGCACACCCACAGGGACUUGGGGUUAAUCCCUAGUAACUUAAAAAAAUAAUAACGGUGAAGGAAUGUAGACAGCUUUAAAAUUUUUGGCUUGCGAAGAUAGGAAAAAAUAGGGGAAAUUAUGCAGUAUCCAUAUGUAGCAUCCAGGAGAGAGCUUUUCAAGAUGGGGAAAUCUGUGUCUGAAGGAGAAUGGAGUUGAAGAACCUGCCAUAUGGUCACAGGAGGUGGCCUGUCCUUCAGCAGCGAAUGAAAUGCAUUUUAACCUGUUAUAUCACAAAACUAAGAAAUGCGAAGAUAGUUUCAAAAAAUACUUCGUAUAUUUAGAAUAUUUACACUUAACAAAUGAAAAAUUUUAGCACAAACUGCCAUACAAGAUACCUAUAGUUCUUUCAUUUGUUUGCUUUUUGGUUUUUUGAAGUUACAGCUUUAGAAACUUCAGGACUUUUAUGGACCCGAGACUGGGUGGCGCAGGGCACAAGCCUGGAAUUGCAGGACUCUGAGGCAGGAUUGUUGUGAGUUCGAGGUCUGCCCGGGCUACACAGUGAGAUUCUGUCUCAAAAAAUAAAUACAUAAAGCCGGGCAUGGUGGCGCUCUCCUGUAAUCGCAGCACUGGGGAGGCUGAGGCAGGAGGAUCCUUGCAAAUUUGAGACCAGUCUGGGCUACAAAGUGAGUCCAAGGCCAGCCUGAACUGCUUAUCAAGAUCCCGUCUCAAACAAACAACUGCUUAGCAAGACCUUGUCUCAAACAAACAGACAACUCAAGUAAAAAUAAAAAAGGAGAGUGGACAGGUAGAAAACAGACAAGAGAGAGAUUGGGAUCAAGGGAUUCUCUUGGUUCUUGGGUGGGGAGGAGGAAAGGAGACGGUGCAGGUUAUAGGCCUCCAUGACCCACGAGGGUAUUCUCUAAAGGCCUCAGGGAGGCGACACAAAACUGUCCCGCUGUUGGGCAAAGUGGACAGGGAGCUCCCCUGGCCCGGAGGGACCUUCUGUGAUAGCGUUCUGGUUCUGCAAAGUCUCACCUGGCCUCGACCCUGCGGCCUAGGACACUGGCAUCCUGGAGCGAUCAUUGUCGGAGGCAUCCACUGGGGGGCAGUGUGACACCCAGGAGCCCAAGGACGGGCCCGAGAGCAGCGUCGCCCUCCCCUGUCCCCCAACCUGCGCCUUCCCAGAGGUGGCGAGCGCCGCGCUCCCUGCAGCCCCCGCAGGCGGACGGAAACUCUGACCUCGCUCUCGCCAGCUGGCAGCCUAAGAACGGCUCGUCUGCUGGUCCCGCCGGAGUCCCGCCCCUUUAAGUACAGCUUCCACUGGACAUUCAGUGCAGCAGGCUUCCUGUGGACCUCCAGUGUGCCCACCACCACAUCACCCUUUUGUAAAAGAAAGGACAGAGAACAUGUAUCCGUGGCUGUGAGGGAGGUUACGAGUUCUAGAAAUUCCUUGGGAGAACUGUGCCAUCAGAGGAUAGUAAAGGCGGGUAACGGCUAUGGGAUCCAUUUCCAGUGGCCAGAGUUUGGCGGAUCUAAAGCGCGAGGAACAGUCCCUGGUGUCUGAAUAGACCGUCCUAGCUCAGAAGCCCAGAGUUUGCUGGAUCCAGGCCUUGUGCUCACCCCAGCCACGCUCCUAGAAUAGUCAGGAUCUGAGUGUCGCACGCAGUGCUUAUGCGCUGCCUGUUGUAUGCAUCUCUGGCAGCGGGGUGAAGGUGAUGUUGGCCCCAGAACAAAUGCAGGCAAGUGAGUCUAUGUCUGCUUGGCCUUUGGAGCACAGGUCUUUCCUCCUCUUGGUGAGCUGCCUGGCCUUGCCCUGCCCAGGCCCUUCCUGCCCCAGGUCUGGGAAGUAAGUAAGUGGGAAAUCCAGUAAUGGAGCAGGAUGUGACCCAUGGUGAGGCAGCUCCCAGAUGUGGUCCAGUCCCUGAGUCAGCAAACCACUGUGGGCACUCGAAGUAAGUCCUUCCGUCCAUUCAUUGCAAGGUCUUGUGCUCUGCUGUUCUUCCUACCCAGAUGCCCAUCUGGUUCACUGUCCCUUUUGGGAUAGGGAGCUUGCCGCCUCCAUCCUCCUCCAAGCCAUGAAGAACCUGGGUGGCCGAGGAAUAAGGGACUUUGCAGGGAGCUGGCCUCACAUGCAGGUGGAAGAAACUGCUCCCUGGGGAAAUGUCGCUGAUGGUGCAGUGAGCAAGCCCACAGAUGCUGACCGAUGUAGGACACAAUACCACAGAGACACCCAGCUACGCAGGGUCCAUGCUGGAGAGACAACCCAGGCAUACUGUCAGAGUCUGAUUGUGCAGACAAAAAACAAAACAAACAAACAAAAAAAAAACAACAGAAAAAAACCCCAGACCUAAGGCUUUAAAUUUGGAAUUAAAACUAAGGUAUAUCAUGUACAGGUACAGAUCCCCUACAAUGAAUGUGAUCAUUAUACAGCUCUAAAUUGUACCAUUAAACUUAAUUGUAAUUUAAAAAAUUUGGACUUACACACAUUGAGCCUGAGUAAAUCAUUUAUCUUUCUA